AUUGAACGCUGGCGGCAGGCCUAACACAUGCAAGUCGAGCGAGCGGCGGACGGGUGAGUAAUGUAUGGGGACUGCCCGCUAGAGGGGGAUAACUACUGGAAACGGUGGCUAAUACCGCAUACUAUCGGAUAACCCAUAUGGGAUUAGCUAGUAGGUGGGGUAAAGGCUCACCUAGGCGACGAUCUCUAGCUGGUCUGAGAGGAUGAUCAGGCACACUGGGAAUGAGAACAGGCCCAGACUCCAAGGGAGGCAGGAGUGGGGAAUGUUGGACAAUGGGCGCAAGCCGGAAUAAGCCAUGCCGCGGGUAUGAAGAAGGCCUUAGGGUUGUAAAGUACUUACAGCGGGGAGGCGUUACCCGCAGAAGAAGCACCGGCUAACUCCGUGCCAGCAGCCGCGGUAAUAC
rnacentral:rRNA from 1 species